rnacentral:rRNA from 1 species
ACGGGUGAGUAACACGUAGGUAAUCUACCCCCAGGUGGUGGAUAACCUUCCGAAAGGAGGGCUAAUACAGCAUGAGACCACGGUCCCGCAAGGGAUUGAGGUCAAAGCCGGCCUCUUCAUGAAAGCUGGCGCCAGGGGAUGAGCCUGCGGCCCAUCACGGUAGUUGGUAGGGUAAUGGCCUACCAAGCCUAAGACGGGUAGCUGGUCUGAGAGGAUGAUCAGCCACACUGGAACUGAGACACGGUCCAGACUCCUACGGGAGGCAGCAGUGGGGAAUCUUGCGCAAUGGGCGAAAGCCUGACGCAGCGACGCCGCGUGAGUGAUGAAGGCCUUCGGGUUGUAAAGCUCUGUGGAGGGGGACGAAUAAGCGUUGGCCAACAUCCAACGUGAUGACGGUACCUCUUUAGCAAGCACCGGCUAACUCUGUGCCAGCAGCCGCGGUAAGACAGAGGGUGCAAACGUUGUUCGGAAUUACUGGGCGUAAAGCGCGUGUAGGCUGCUCAGAAAGUCGGAUGUGAAAGCCCUGGGCUUAACCUAGGAAGUGCAUUCGAAACUUCUGAGCUGGAGUUCUGGAGAGGAAGGCGGAAUU